UACGUAGGGGGCAAGCGUUGUUCGGAAUUACUGGGCGUAAAGGGCUCGUAGGCGGCCAACUAAGUCAGACGUGAAAUCCCUCAGCUUAACUGGGGAACUGCGUCUGAUACUGGAUGGCUUGGAUUCGGGAGAGGAAUGCGGAAUUCCAGGUGUAGCGGUGAAAUGCGUAGAUAUCUGGAGGAACACCGGUGGCGAAGGCGGCGUCCUGGACCAACACUGACACUGAGGAGCGAAAGCCAGGGGAGCAAACGGG
rnacentral:rRNA from 1 species